GUCGAACGCUGGCGGCGUGCUUAACACAUGCAAGUCGAACGGAAAGACCCCCAUCUUGGUUGGGUUGCUCGAGUGGCGAACGGGUGAGUAACACGUGGCUGAUUGGCCCUGUACUUUGGGGUAAGCUUGGGAAACUUGGUCUAAUACCGGAUAGGAGCAUGGUUGAGUGUCUCAUGGUGGAAAGAUUAUUGUUUUUGUGCAUGAUGAGCUCGCGGCCUAUCAGCUUGUUGGUGGGGUAAUGGCCUACCAAGGCGUCGUCGGGUGGCCGGCCGGAGAGGCAGGACGGCCAGAUUGGGACUGAGGUACGGACCAGAAUCGGACGGAAGGCAGGAGUGUGGUAGAUUGCACGCUGGGGGCAGGCCUGAUGCAGCGACGCGGCGUGAGGGAUGACGGCGUUCGGGUAGUAAACUCCGUUGGUGAGGGACGAAGCAAGACUUUUUUGGGCGGGGUGACGGUACCUUAGUUAAGAAGCACCGGCUAACUACGUG
rnacentral:rRNA from 1 species